GUACUUGCUUUGGCAGCACAUAUACUAAAAUUAAAUGAUACAGAGAUUAACAUGGCCCCUGUGCAAAGAUGACACAAAAAAUAAUUUGAAUACCCAUGUAUUA